GCCCAUGUGGUCCAGCGGCAGGACACUGGCUUCCCACGCCGGAAGGGCGGGUUCGACCCCCGUCAUGGGCUCCA
rnacentral:tRNA from 1 species